AACUCUGGUGGCCCAGUGGUUAGAGUGUCUGCCUCAGAUGCAAGAGGUCGCGGGUUUGAACCCCAGCCGAGUCA